UAGCAAUGGGUCUGAAAACACAACUCACGACAAACAGAAUGACGAUACAGAUCUUCCCACCGAUGCUGUGACUGAACCUGAAUCUAUUACUGAGCUGUCAGCUGAGCACGAGCAGAAGGUCUAUUCACGCGUAGAGAAAGUGAUGAUUAUAGAUUUAACCAGGCAGAAGUUGGAAAGUACCAAGUAUAACAAUGAAGGGGACAUCAACUUGCAUCGG